GGGUGACCCCCGGAUCAGGUAGGAUACCCGUUGAAACUAAAGCAAACCUUAAACGGGGAAAACAAAAAAUU
rnacentral:rRNA from 1 species